rnacentral:pre_miRNA from 1 species
GCAACCACGCCGCGCCCUGCCGGUCCCCCACAGUGUAUGACUCCUUUUACCGCUACGAGGAUGGACUAGACAACCCACGCACCGCCUGGUGCCGCCGACUCUGCGCCGGGCCCAUGAGGUCAUGGACCUCGCGGCCCUGGAGGCCCUGGUAGCCGCCGCGCCAUGCCAGGCCGUCAGCGCGCCGGACGCGCCGACAGCCUGGAAUGGCGCGCCAUUCCAGGGCCGCCUCUAGGGCCGCGAGGUCCAUGACCUCAUGGGCCCGGCGCAGAGCCGGCUGGACCAGCCGGGGCGUGGGGUCAUCGAGGCCACCGGCAUAGCGGUAGAAUGAUUCGUAUAACCUAGGGCGCCGGCAGGGCGCGGCGGUGUAGUUGC